rnacentral:rRNA from 1 species
UGUUUGGAGAGUUUGAUCCUGGCUCAGGACGAACGCUGGCGGCGUGCUUAACACAUGCAAGUCGAACGGGAUCUGCGUGGCCUUUGUGGUUGUGUGGUGAGAGUGGCGAACGGGUGAGUAACACGUGAGUAACCUGCCUUUUUCUUUGGGAUAACGCUCAGAAAUGGGUGCUAAUACUGGAUGUUCUGCGCUUUCCGCAUGGGGGGUGUGGGAAAGGGGCCUUUGUGGUUUCUGGAGGGAGAUGGGCUCGCGGCUUAUCAGCUUGUUGGUGGGGUGAUGGCUUACCAAGGCUUUGACGGGUAGCCGGCCUGAGAGGGUGGGCGGUCACAUUGGGACUGAGAUACGGCCCAGACUCCUACGGGAGGCAGCAGUGGGGAAUUUUGCACAAUGGGGGGAACCUUGAUGCAGCGACGCCGCGUGAGGGAUGGAGGCCUUCGGGUUGUGAACCUCUUUCGCUCGUGUGCAAGCCGCUAUUUGGGUAGUGGUGAGUGUAGCGGGUAAAGAAGCGCCGGCUAACUACGUGCCAGCAGCCGCGGUAAUACGUAGGGCGCGAGCGUUGUCCGGAUUUAUUGGGCGUAAAGGGCUUGUAGGCGGUUUGUCGCGCCUGUCGUGUAAUCCUCUGGCUUAACUGGGGGUGUGCGGUGAAGGCUAAAACUCAAAGGAAUUGACGGGGGCCCGCACAAGCGGCGGAGCAUGCGGAUUAAUUCGAUGCAACGCGAAGAACCUUACCAAGGCUUGACAUGCGCCCUGAGCGCCUAGAGAUAGGUGUGCAUUUGGUUGGGGGUGUGCAGGUGGUGCAUGGUUGUCGUCAGCUCGUGUCGUGAGAUGUUGGGUUAAGUCCCGCAACGAGCGCAACCCUUGCCCUAUGUUGCCAGCGCGUUAUGGUGGGGACUCGUGGGGGACUGCCGGGGUUAACUCGGAGGAAGGUGGGGAUGACGUCAAAUCAUCAUGCCCCUUAUGUCUUGGGCUUCACGCAUGCUACAAUGGCAGGUACAGAGGGUUGCGAUGCUGUGAGGUGGAGCGAAUCCUUUAAAGCUUGUCUCAGUUCGGAUCGGGGUCUGCAAUUCGACCUCGUGAAGGUGGAGUCGCUAGUAAUCGCAGAUCAGCUACGCUGCGGUGAAUACGUUCUCGGGCCUUGUACACACCGCCCGUCACGUCACGAAAGUUGGUAACACCCGAAGCUUGUGGCUUAACCUUUUUGGGGGGAGCAGGUGACGGUGGGAUUGGCGAUUGGGACGAAGUCGUAACAAGGUAGGCGUACCGGAAGGUGCGGCUGGAUCACCUCCUUU